AACAAGAUACUAGGAAGUACUUUAUUUUUACCUAGGAAAAUGAAUCUAAAGUUCAUGCAAAUGAUGACAAAAGUUCUCUCUCUCUCUUGCUCUCCAUGAAUUGCACAAUUAAACCUACCAAAUGCUGCUUGAAAAUAGAAUGAGGAAUUAGAAUACAGUUGAGAAGGUAGAUUACUUCAAAGGAUAAUGCUGUGAAUGUAUGGAAAUAUAAAAAUGAAACCUGCUUACAAUGAAAAAUGUUUUAACUUCAAAAUAAAACUGGAAAGAUACCUGUUUUUGUGAGGAUCAAACUGAGGUCCUAGUAUGAGCUAACAAACAUCCUACAAAUUAAGAUACUCUGAAAAUUACACUUUGGCUUAGUUUGGAAGCUACAUAGACUCAACCUGUGGAUAAA